CUUUUGUGUUCGAUCCCAAACCUGCAAUCUUAACCUUUCUUUCUUACACACGCUUAGCAGUAGAGAAAUGGUACGAUUAAGAAAUGGUAAUUUGAUUUUUUUCAAUAGUUGAAUUUUCAUCUGAAUUCGUAACUAAAUGAUUUCGAUUUACCGUAUACUUAAUUAAAUUUUAGGGUUUGAUUUACAGAGAGGCACACUGGAAGCUUAAAAACAAACAUUUUUUGCGAGGUACGAUUAGUGCGUUGCUCAUCUACAGCACAAACUCAAGAAGUCCCAUUAGUUCUCCACCAGUAUCGUCUCCAUAGUCGGUAAGUAUUUGCACAUUUUUCAUUGGAAAAUACAUUUAACUUUGUGAGUUGUAUCUGGAAUUCUUCUUAACUUAUUGUCUAAAUGUUUUAUUUCUUGAUGAUUCAUUCUGAACUACUUCAGCUACACUAGGUCAACUUUAACUUCUCCUGCUACGUGUUUGAUGAUAUGCGUAUGUGAAAAUAUCCAUGUCUGCUUCUACAUAAUGUUAUGGAGACCUGUAAUUGUCCUUGUUUGCUAAUUGGAUAGUUAUAGUUUCCUUUGGUUUUAUGUCGAAGCCAUGAUUUGUAUGUAGUAUAUAUAUUUUUUAGACUUGCUGCUAAGUUUUCUGCUGAUUUGAUUAGUGGAAACUGCAUCUCCUCCAUGUUCUCGUAAAUUUGGAAAUGUUUACAACAUCUAAAUCUUUUUGUGAAUAUAAAUAAAUAAAACUCCGUUAUUUGGGUAAGCUAGCUGCAAAAAAGCCAAAUUAACAAUUAGCUUCCAAGAAGUGUGAAGUGGGAUCACUUAGCAUCAAUCUGUCAAUGCACGGUGCAUCCUUUCACCCAUUUCCCAAGAUAUGUUGAGAUGUGAAUCAAUCCAAGUAUGUAAGAGAUCCAAUAAAAACAAAAAAAUUUAGUGUCCUUGUUGCCUAAAACUGUUUAUCUUUGACAAGAUUUCACACAAAGCUGCUAGAAUUAAUAUGGGGGAUAUGAAAUGUAAUCAUUUUUAUCUGAAGACAAUCACUGGAUUAUCUAAUCUAUUCCUGUUUUCCAUUUUUGUUUGCUACUUUCAGUGAAUAUUCUUUUGUUGGCUGAUUUUGCCAGUAAAAUCUUGGAAAUCUUGGGCUAAAGUGAUUACUCUUCUGAUGGCAAAAGAGGUUAUAACCUCAGAUGAACAGGUAGUUUUCAAUCUAAAUUUCUGUGUCUCAGAAUGUAACACAUGGUUAACUCUCCCCAUCUUUUCAUUCUGUUGCAUUUUCUUUCAGUAAAUACCAAUUGAAUGAUGCCUCUUACAUAAAUGCCUGCCGGUUGGCUAAAUCAUUCCUUUAGGUUGUUCUUGGUGAGGAAAUUGGCCGUGUGAGAUUGAUCACUUGAGCCAGCCUCGGCGAUUGAAUGUUAUUUCAUCUAAAGUGGUAUGUUGAAGGAAUAGACUCAAUAUUGUUCUGUUAUUAUCUUAGUUUCUGUGAUGAAGGGACAUUUCAGACUCCCAGUAUUCGUUGACUAGGUUGCUUUGCUAGCAGAGUACCUGGAAAAAUGGGAAAAAGAUGAUAAUGCAGAGUUCAUACUGAUCAAGGUAUAAUUCGAAGUUAUUACUCAUAUUAUGAAAUUUGAUGAUCGAUUAGUAGCAUUUUUGCUUUUAUGUCUGCAAUUUAAAUGUAAGUUGCUCAUGUUUUCUUAAGGAGCUGGACAUGCUUUUUCUGCUAGUGGGGAUUUGAAAAUGCUUUAUGAUGGAAGGACGUCGAGUAAUUAAAUUAAGAGUAAAGGAACUUUAUCUGUUUAGCACUGCAAAAGUUCCCUUAGCAAUCUAUUAUUUUAUUUCUCAGAGGAUUCAUGUCUUGAAGUGGUUUAUAGAAUGUAUUGGCUUUGUUACCACAUCCAUGCCUAUCAGAAAACACAGGUAUGAUCAUAACCUACAUCAGUUUAUUUUCUUGUGCUCCUAUCCUUGUCCAGCAGCUGUUUUGUCUCCAAUAAGCCCGAUGUUGAAGGUAUACAGCUUGUAGACUUGCCUGGACUAGCUUUUUCAUUGUUUUUUGGUGAAGUGUACAAUAUGGCUUAAGAUGUUUCUCAAAUUUAUGUGAAGAUAAAUGAUAUUGGAGCUAUGGGGAUUCUUUGGUUUGCUAUGGGGUUUGUUGUUCAACAAGUAGACUAGAUUACGCAUAGACGGAUGCCUUAUGAUAAUAUCUAUCCACCAAUACAAAUUUUAUAUUUAUAUGAAAAGCUUAAAAAAAGAAAAUAAAGAAAAAAAAGGUAAUGGAUCUGGUUCUCAUGUUUGCCUUUGAGCCCUGAGAACUCAAUCGUUUUCAAUUUGAAAGACAUAAAUUUAAACUUUUAUCACUAAACCCGCCCAAACCAUCUGUACUAUUUCUUCUGGUUCUAGGAAUUUUUCACUCUUCUAUGCCAUUAGCCAAUUACAGUUUUUGGUCAAUGAUCCAUACUUAGUGGAAAUGAUCUUUCUACGGUCAUUAUUUUCCAUAUAUCAACUGCAGAGUAUAUAAAUGUGCUAUUAGCUGCAAUACUUAAAAUGGAUAAAUUUGAAAUUUAAAGACUACUAUCUAUCAAUUUAUACUCUUUAUAGAUAGUGUGGUAUUUUUGUUGAGGACAGCUGAUACUGAAGAUACAUACUUAAGUCCCUGCUUUGGAAUUUUAUUUAGGCUUGUGGAAAUCUGAGUGAAGCUGAUGUCCCCCCCCCCCCCCCCCCCCCCUUUUUUUUUUUCCUGUGAGGUAACCAGAAGCUAAUGUUUUCUCGUAAAUACGUUGGUCUCAUUUAAGCUAAGUGAUGAUGGAAUCUGAAGCAAAAAUGAAGGUUAGUAAGAGAAGUUUCUGCAUUAUUAUUUUUAAUGUUCAUGCGAUGCUUAAUAUGCUUCAAAGUUGAACUUCAAUGCUGUUGCAAUUAUGCAACACACAGACACCAUCCGACGCAUAAAAGGGCAUUGGUCGACAUCAGGAACCGGGAAAUUUACCGCUAAUCACAUUGUUGCUCUUAAAGUAAGCAAGGGGCUGAAUGUUAUAGAACUUGCAAACAAGAUUCAAGUUAGAAUAAACUAUUGCUUGGUCACUCCUACUCUGGUUUAGGCUAUUCUUCAUAAUUUUUCUGAUUUAAGUUUGAAUCUAUGAAGAAAUCUGGGCUCUAUAGCCUGAUAACAAGCAAACACCAGAGGGUCCUAUUUCUGUUGGUUUCUCUAGGGAUCCAAUAUUUUUUCAAAAAAAAUAGUUCCUUGAGUGUAUUGUUUAUGAUCUUUUCUUUUCAUUUUUUCCCUACUGAUUUUUAUUUUUAUUUUUAUUAUUAUUAUUUCCCCCCCUUUUUGUUUUUUGUUUUUUGUUUUUUUUUUCUCGUUUAG
rnacentral:lncRNA from 1 species